UUACGUACAUUUUCUGCAGGCAGUGUUGGAAGUUGUCCGUUGCUCCUAUUCUCCAUACCAUAUCCUAUGCCAACACCAAGAUCCAAGCUAAUUGAGCCAUUCUCUUCUGCCCUGAACCGUGAACUUCCAGUUACAGGCAUCGAUCCUGCCAUUUCAUGGCUAUUAUUCCUAGCUGUUGGCACAUCGUGAUUGUGUUUCCCCUCACCCGUGAACUUCCAGUUACAGGCACCGAUCCUGCCAUUUCAUGGCUAUUAUUCCUAGCUGUUGGUACAUCGUGAUUGUGUUUCCCCUCAUAGGUAGUAAUUACAGCUUUGGGAUCAUGGGAUGCCCUCUCCACAUGUUUCCUGACAGGGCAUCCAGCAUUGGUGCACUUGUAAUAA
rnacentral:lncRNA from 1 species